AACGAACGCUGGCGGCAGGCUUAACACAUGCAAGUCGAACGGGCACCUUCGGGUGUCAGUGGCAGACGGGUGAGUAACGCGUGGGAACGUACCCUUCGGUUCGGAAUAACCCAGGGAAACUUGGGCUAACACCGGAUACGUCCGCAAGGAGAAAGAUUUAUCGCCGAAGGAUCGGCCCGCGUCGGAUUAGCUAGUUGGUGGGGUAAUGGCCCACCAAGGCGACGAUCCGUAGCUGGUCUGAGAGGAUGANCAGCCACACUGGGACUGAGACACGGCCCAGACUCCUACGGGAGGCAGCAGUGGGGAAUAUUGGACAAUGGGCGAAAGCCUGAUCCAGCCAUGCCGCGUGAGUGAAGAAGGCCUUAGGGUUGUAAAGCUCUUUCAGCGGGGAAGAUAAUGACGGUACCCGCAGAAGAAGUCCCGGCUAACUUCGUGCCAGCCGCCGCCGUAAC
rnacentral:rRNA from 1 species